GGUUAGCUCAGACGGUAGAGCGCGGGACUUUCAAUCCAAGGUCAAGUGUUCAAGUCCCUUAUC
rnacentral:tRNA from 1 species